AAAGGGAGACCUAAUUCGGGUAGAAGACGAAAAAAUAGUAGUCGAAACCAAGAAUCAAUCCCAAAAGGUCGGAACGAGGUAUGUGGCUUUCAAACUAGGUUCUGGGUUCACAAAAGACCUGAAUCAGGAACAAGGGCUAUUAGCUCAGGUGGUUAGAGCGCACCCCUGAUAAGGGUGAGGUCCCUGGUUCGAGUCCAGGAUGGCCCACCUGCACAGGUGGCAAAAACAAGAGAAACGAGGAAUCAGCACCUUAUCUUACUUACAUAGUAAGAGAGAAUGCUGGCUCUGAGUAAAGAGUCCAGAAGAACCUUGAAAACUGCAUAGAGCUAGGUGAAAAAGCCAAAAAAGAAGACCGCAAG
rnacentral:tRNA from 1 species